rnacentral:rRNA from 1 species
GACGAACGCUGGCGGCGUGCCUAAUACAUGCAAGUAGAACGCUGAAGGAGGAGCUUGCUUCUCUGGAUGAGUUGCGAACGGGUGAGUAACGCGUAGGUAACCUGCCUGGUAGCGGGGGAUACCUUUGGAAACCGUAGCCUAUUACGGAUUAUUAGAAGAUGUGCCUUACAUUUGCUUAAAAAGGUCAAAUUGAUCACCACCAGGAGGGCCUGCGUUGUAUUAGCUAGUUGGUGGGGUAACGGCUCACCAAGGCGACGAUACAUAGCCGACCUGAGAGGGUGAUCGGCCACACUGGGACUGAGACACGGCCCAGACUCCUACGGGAGGCAGCAGUAGGGAAUCUUCGGCAAUGGACGGAAGUCUGACCGAGCAACGCCGCGUGAGUGAAGAAGGUUUUCGGAUCGUAAAGCUCUGUUGUAAGAGAAGAACGAGUGUGAGAGUGGAAAGUUCACACUGUGACGGUAUCUUACCAGAAAGGGACGGCUAACUACGUG